rnacentral:lncRNA from 1 species
AAAAAAAUAACUGUAACACUCACCCAAAAAAAAUAAUGUAAUUUCAAUUCUCAGAAUUAGCACAUUAAGCUGAAAUAUGGUGUUACUAAAACCAGUACUGAUUAUUAAGGUCCUCGGGGAGGCAUGUGGCUGUGGUCUGAGUGUCAGGAAUUGGGCUGUCCCUGAAUGAGCCACUUGUGCUGUCCUCUGGGCACAGUGCUUGUGGACCUGACCAGGUUUCCAUGCUGCAUUGGCUGCUGGAAAGCCUGGGCAGAACCAGCUGGGGGGUCUCCUGUGACCCGUGUGUACCCUGUGGUUUUGUGUUAACUUCACUCCUGGUUUCAUGUAACAUGUCUGUUGACAUUUGUUUUCACUCCAUCUUAUCCACCCUCAGCUAUUUAUAUUUUUCUCCUGUUGCAUAUUUUUGUAAACUGCCUCAGCUCCGUUUUUGGGCUGGACUAGGGUCUGAGUGCAGACUCCACCAAUAGGUAGCGAGGCAGCCUUGUGCUGGGUGAGGUCUGUUCUUACAGACUCAGGGACAGCUUCUUGGUGGUGUGGCCUCAUAAUGGCCAGAAGCCAUCCAGAGCUCCAUGUGGCCUGUGAGGUAGACAGUUUCUCCUGGAAUAGCUUGUGGAGUUAAAAGCAGUGUGUGCCGUUGACAGGACUCAGAAAGAGGAGGCGUGGGCAGGGACAUGGGUCAGAAGCCAGUUGCUCAUUGUGAGAACAGUGGGAAGAGAAAUGAAGGUGUGAGGAAGGGGGAAGUAGCACUUUGUAAAUGUUAGUCUGAGAUGAGGGGUGAAUCUUCCAAGCCUCUGAAAGCAGGAAUAUGAAGAAAAGGCAAUUGGAUCAUGUAAGAGGGCACUGUGGAAGGAACCUGCAAGAGUGGUGAGGACCCAGAAGCAGCAGAUGAGUGUGUGAGUUCUGGCUGUCUGAAUUAGCAGAGAGAUGAAAGAUAGCAGGGUGAAGCUGGCUCUCAGAGGGAGACUCCGUAGUGUGUGAUGAGAGGAACGCUGGCAAGGGCAAGCAAAGUCAACAUUGGUCUUCACCUGAGGAGCGUGGCUGACUUCUGUCCCCUGCAGGGCUCAACAUCGGCCCUGUGGUAGCUGGGGUGAUUGGGGCUCGCAAGCCUCAGUACGACAUCUGGGGCAAUACAGUGAACGUGGCCAGCCGCAUGGACAGCACCGGUGUGCCUGACCGCAUCCAGGUCACCACAGACAUGUACCAGGUGUUGGCUGCCAACACGUACCAGCUGGAGUGCCGGGCGUGGUCAAAGUGAAGGGCAAAGGCGAGAUGAUGACCUACUUCCUCAACGGAGGUCCCCCCUCAGUUAGCAACUGCCAGUGGUGGCGCCGAAGCCCAGGCUCCACAAGAAGGGAAAUGGCUUCUUUUGCUCCACAUGGGCAGUCUGGGAGCCUGCACUCGGCCACACCGCUGUGCUGGUGGAGAUUUCCACCUGACUCAGAAGCAGCCUCUGCCUUUGCUGGUGGGCAUGGCCUCUGGCCCAGGCCCUGGUGCCAGCGUCCUGCAAGCACCAAGCUGACCAAAGAUGUUUCCCCUGCAGAAGACUCUGCUGGACUCAGCUGAACCUUGUUUUCUGACAGGUGCUGCUGCUGCACAGUGGAGGGGCACUGCUAGAGCCCAGCACACGGCAGCAGGCCCUAGGAGGCCGCAGCCUGGACGGGGUGGGGGCAGGCUGGAUGCUGGCCUGGGGUACCAGGGACCCCGAGGGUCUGCUGCUCCUAGCGAGCCUUUAGGGUUCAGACAGGCCGCGUCCCUGCUCCCUGGUGGUGCUCUGGGGCGGGAGUGCUGGCUGUGGAGGGGCCCCGGCCUUCACCUCCACACACACAGACAGCGCCCUGUGAGGGAGAUGGGACUGAUUGUGAAGGGGAGGCAGGAGGAUGCCAAGCAAGGAGUGGGGGCUCUAGGAAAAGAAAAUAUUUAUUAAAUAAAACAUGUUUUUCUGCGCCCUUCUUUAGCUAGUUGUAUUUGUGUAAGAGACACAAGCAAACCAGGAUGCCACGGGGGAGGGAGGGGGGCGGGGCCCCAACUUGUCUUUUUUGUAUUUUUUAUUUUGUAUUAUUGAAAGCCUUGGAGAUCUAACAGAUAUACCAAAUUCUAUAUUUUGUAAAUUCUCUAUAUUAGAAAACAGCUGUGCACAGUGGGGCGUGUGUGCGCAUUUGUACUGUACGUCUGUCGGUGUGUGUGCUGGUGUACAUGUGCGUGUGUUCAUGCUGCAGACCUGUUCUCCUGCAGGCUCUGUUUCCCUCAUUUCAGACUUGGCAGAGUUUGGUUUUCCCAGGUACAGCCAGAGCAGGGCUGUGUCCCUUGGGGUUCCACACAUUUGGAUGAAGGAGGAGGACGACAUACAGAGAUGCAUUACCCCAUCUCUUUCUAACAUACACGCACACACACACAUCCCACUUCCCCUGAGUAAAAUGCAAACAGAAUAAAAAGAAAACAGCUUCUUUUCCACCCCAGGCUGCAUUGAUAGCAAGGGUCACAGCCUCACCCUAAGUAGGCAGCAUGGCUUAUUUUGUCUGCCUUUCCUUUUAGUGGGGAGGUGGUAGCCAAAGAUACUGAGGAAAGCAAACCCAUUUUUAUCACUUCUGAGGGAGGCAUUGGGAAAAUGAUGCGCUAUCGCAGAGGUGCAUUUACGCAGGGCCUGUGCCCAGAUCCGUUCACUGUUUCUCAGGAAAGGAUUUUUCUCCCUCCCACAUGAGUCUGGGGAAGGGGAGGCAGCAGCCCUAGGCCGGCUGCUGAUCCGUGACUUCAGUAUCCACCUGCAUCCCUUCAUCUGUGAACCCAGCUCUGAGAAGCAAAACUGUGGACCCCAAACUGCCAAGCCUGAGUCUGUUCCAUGCUUCUGCUGCUCCACCUUUUGAGUUCUGCCUUGGCUUCUCGCCUCUGCCGUAGAGGCCAGCUUCCUCCACCUUGUUCUUGAGUCCCUGCCUCCAUCUGGCCUGCUGGUGGUGCUGGGUGUUCGCUUUGCUUCCAACCUGAGUAGAGUGCGUGCUGCGUUCAUCCCAUGCCCCCGUUGGUCAAGGCCUGUGGGCCCUCCCCAUCCCAGCAGUGACUGGUGACAGCGUGCAGUGCUGGCUCUAUGCGUUCCCCUCUAAGGGUGUGCACUCUUUUUAUUCCUGCUCUUGCAAAAAUGGAUACAAUUAUGAUUUCCCAUGGAAAUUGAAAAGUCUAUUUAAAUAAUUUAACUAUUAAA